AGGUUUGUGGCUUCAUGGCAAAGCACUUGCCUAGUGUGCAUGAGGCCCUGGGUUCGAUCCCCUGCAUGACAA
rnacentral:tRNA from 1 species